AUUUGCUAUGAUGGUAUUUCAUCUUUCGGGACUGACUUAUUAUUGAUGUCAAUUUAAGCUGAGCAUAU